rnacentral:lncRNA from 1 species
GGCAAUAGUUGUGCUGCUUUGAGUUAAAAGACUUUUGCCAAACAGUUGCACCCUUCAUCUCAUGUUGCAUUCUUCUUUGUUUUGAAACUUUCCAUACUAGGUUUCCACAUUUUUCUUCAAACUGCAAACCUCUAAGAAAAGCCAUGACGUUUGAAAAAUGGCCACAUCCUAAAGCUGUAAAUAAAGCACCUCAUAAUUCAUUUUUACGCAAUCAAAUUGAAUUAAUUCCUCUUUAUCUUCCUUGUCAAAUAGUUUUGAGAAAAUUUCUGCUUCAGGUUCUUGUCAAAGUUGAGGGAUAAAGGCAGAAGUUUUGUUCGCUGGUUCGUAUGGGAUUGGGACAAUUGCUCAAUAACCUUGAGCACUAGAGGAGGCAAACUUUCUUAACAAAAGAUCAUGAACUCGAUCAUAUCUAAUUGCUUGUUCUUAUGAACUGUAAGUUAAUUUGUCUACUUUAUGUUUUGCGAAACACGAAAGUGCCAUAUUCUAUUUGCAAUAGAUGAUAUCGCAUGAACAACCAGCGUACAUAGUUUUCCUUCAGGUUUAACUUAAUAUUUUUGAGUUCUUAUCUUUUUGAGAAUAUUCUUU